rnacentral:misc_RNA from 1 species
CAACCCUUAAGCUCAGCUUAGUGUUGGGAAUCUACCGUGAGUGGUGCUACCCUGUAGUUACCCUGUAGUUCCUCAAAUCCAACGGCGGAGUCAUAGUCAUCUCUGAGCGCAGUAAUUUUUAUCACGCUUUUGAAGAUGCUAUAACCUUAGCCGCUAAACCCCCAAUUUUUAAU